CAGAAACAACAUAUGCUAUUAUAUAACAAUAAUUCUGCAAAUCAGCAAGCCAUGUCCUAUAUGCCUAAAGACCAGGUUCUAGACCUUGAAAUUCUGUGCUAGCAAUUUUAAAAUUUCAGUUUACUUGAGUCUGUAUCAUAACACGUAGACAUGUCCCAUUCAUUUUAUUUUAGAGACUUUCCAUGGGCAGUCCUGGCCAGAGUCCCCCACAGAAAUCCUGGGUGUAGAGCUGAGAUUUGAAGGUACAGAAAUGGGAGAGGUUGCUUUGGGUAAGAAUGUUGAGUGAGGAGAGCAGAUAUCCGAGGCCUAAGAUCUAAGUUAUUCUAAUAUUUAAAGGUUAGGAAGAAGGAUAAGGGUAGGUUUCUUAAGGUUCAUUGAUAAAGGGUGGGCAGAGAGUAGUAGUAGAAUCAGGAACAUUUCAGGAAGGGAGCAUCAAAUUUAUUGAAUGUCUAUGAGAGUUCAAGUACAAACAGUUAAAAAGCACCUAUUGGAUUUGUCAACAUGAAAUCCUAAAGGAACUUAGCAAAAGUCUCAAUAGUAUGAGGGAGGCAAGAGACAAAGUAGAGCUGGGUUGAUGGGGAAAUGGGCUGCAAAGAAGUAGAGAUAGUAUAUACAGGUAAUAUUUUCCAGAAGCUUUUCAGUAAAGGAGAGUUGAAGCAAUCCAAUCAAGAACGGAAGUUGGACAUUGUCAAUCAAAAUAAUAGUAAUAACUAAUAAAAUUUGAGUGCUAUGUUAAGCAUUUUAUAUGUGGUUUCAAUUUAAUUUAAUCCACAAAUCAACCCUAUGUAGUACAUACUAUUACUACCUCUAUUUACCUAUGAAUAAAUAGAAACACAGAGAUUAAGUAGCAUCUCUAAGGUCCAUUGCUGGGCCUUAGAGCUGGGAUUUCAUUGCAGGCAGUUCAGUUCAGUGCUUUCAUUGUUAAAUCACUACACUAUUCCAUCUUACCAUAUGAUAAUGGGCAUAUUUCGAAAGUCCAGAGUUUCUGCUAUGGCUUUGCUACCUAGGUUCUAGAUGAAUUUCACAACUCACUCAGUUUUUCUGGGCAUGUUGUCAGCAUGUACAACACACUUAUUGAUGGAUGUAUGGAAAAGAGGAAAAACUGUACAAACACAUUCCUGUUUCACAACACCUCCAUCAGUCCUGAAUAGGUUUGAAACUUAAGAACAUAUUGUCCAUGCCUCAAAAGGAACAAAUAGAUAUUUCAAGAAUUCUGAAGACUACUCUUUUUUCUGUCCCUCAGAAGGCAAGGAAAAUUACAUCUUCACAUAAAGGAAGUGACUAAUAGAGACAGAGCGUUCCAAGGGGAUCUGGCGGAAAGCGCUUAAAGUCAGACAUGAGGAAGUUCCUGAAAAGAACCUUGAGAAGCAACUGCUCUGAUCAAGAGGAGGAAAAAUGACAUAAUUGGGGUCCCCUGGGCUGAAGUGAUGUGAUCCUGGGAUGCAGUGUGGCAGGAAGAUGGAGAGCUCAGGGGUCUUCUUAAAGGACACUGAAAACUGGCGGCAGAGAAAAGCAGACCGCAUUUCUCCUUUCCACCGUACCUUUGUGGCAUACUGCUUGGAAUACAUCAGUCCAAUAAGCAAGACUGUGCUACUGUCUCACAUGGAAACCAAAGUUGGGAAGACUGAUGGUAUCAACAGCCAAGAAAUGUUAUAGUCAUUCAGGGAAACUGGAUGCAUUAACAAAAAAGCCACAGUAAAUAAAUAGAAUUGCACACAGCAAAUGGAAAAUCAUAGGAUCUACCCAAGAAAAGGUAAUUAAUUAAUUAGUUCUUGAUCAGAACCUGUUAAAUACACAUCAAUGUAGACCACUCAGCUAGAAAUUAGGUCAUGUCCCCUGUUGCAGGAAGAAAAAGCAGUUUAACUGGGUGUGGUUCUGCAGUAUGUACACUGCAGUAUAUUCCAUAGGUCUUUUUCACUUCAGGCUUGCUUUUUGUAUUGUACAGAGUAGACAGAAAUGACUGAGUAAACAGAAAAUGGCAAAUUGCACUAAGUAAUUCCAAGAUUUCACAUAUGAAUUCCACAGAAUCAAGAAAAAUUUAGCAAUAACUGGUGGAAAAUAAAAGAUUGUAUCACAGGGAAAGAUAACACAAGGUGGACAUUUCCAUUGCCCUUUAUGAAGUGAAAACUCAGUUUCUCUUGAUGGAAAAUGGCAAUUGAGUCCUGAAGACUCCUAACGUAUAAGCCAAAUAAGUUUAGUCAAUGUUGUAAGUCUAUCAGCACAGCUUUGUACGCCACCUUGAGGAGAAAGUGACGUUUAGUUAAUAAAUGUAAUUUAUACAUAUAUAUUUAAAUGUGUGUUUAUAUGUAAUAUAAAUUCAUGUUCAUGUAAAAUAUAAUUUAUUAAUCUCUUUACAUAAGCCAGGUAUCACAUGGAGUACUUUUCACUGGAUUAUCUCAUGUAUGGCUCCUAAUUUUGAGGGUGUUAUUACUUCCUCACUGUGAGGAUGAGGAAGGAGAAGUCAAUAACCUAUCCCAGUUUACACAGAGUAAGUGGUAGAGUUCAUCUGAACAUAGGCGGGCUGACUCUACUGCUCACACCGUGUCACUGUGUGACUCUUUGGAAGCCAAGUUGCAUUUGAUAAGGGCACACCAGCAACUGGCCCAAGUGCAAUUACUGUAAACGUUGAGGUGGAAGCAGAGGAAUAAGUCUGCAGGUUACUACUGACCUUGGUCAGACUUCAGCUAAUAAGAGUCCCGACUGUGGCUGUGUGUGACCGUUGGGUUGAAGAGGAAGAGGCAGACACAAGAGCUACUUAGGAGAUUGCUUGGCCAGAACUUGGCAUCCAUUAGAUGGAAAGGUAAUGGGGGAAAGAGGAGAAUCUUUAGGUUCCUGGUUAAGUGAUGAGAAAGUGUGCCCCCCAAAUACAUAAAGAUUUAGGAAAGCAGUUUGUUAAUUAUUUUCAGUAGAAAAGUGUUGUAUUUGAGGUAACUGCCCUUCUGUUGGAGAUACUCAGAAGGCAGAUAAAUACGUAGGAGUGAAACUCAAGAGAGAUUAACCCUAGAGAAAAAGAUAUUGGGAAUUGUUAGCUUGGGGGUGAGGCAGUUAUUAAAUGUGAUUAAACCCUCAAAAUUAUACAUAGAUUAGAGAAAAAGAUAGGAAAUCCAGGAGAGGAACCCUAGAAAUAACCAGCAUUUGAAGAGUUCUGCCAUGCUUCCCAAGAUCAAGGCUUGAUUUCUUCAAGAGAUUCUUUAAUAUUUGGUCUUAGUUAUUAAACAGUUUUUAUACUAAUAAAUUAU